rnacentral:lncRNA from 1 species
GUUUCACUUCUAUGUAGACAGCACAGUGUUACCAUACUUUUUGCUCUCAAAAUAUAGUUCUUACUCUCCAGGAGCUCAGCCUAAUGGGGGAGACAACAUAAAAGCAACUCUGUUCAAGCCACUUAUGUAGCAGAUAAAUUGGAGAUAAUCAACAAAGAGAAGACACUAGAAUUACGAGGCAUCCGGAAAGGCUUCUUGUAGAAGCUACUAAUGUAAUAUGAGGAAAACUUCAGGGGAUGGAACAAAGUAACAGAUGUAAACAACAUUUUCUAAGAACUCUUCUUAUUGACACAGGACAUUGAAUUGGCCAACACAUUUGCCUCGUUAAAGUAUGACAUUUCUUCUCCUUUAUGGCAGAAACUGGAGGGAAAAUAACUAAAAGAAGCAGAGGUAUGAAGAGAGGUCUUCAACUAAGAAGGUGGAAGAAGAGCGUAAUAAAAAGAGGGUUUGAAAAGAAAAGAGAAUGUUUGAAAACGUCUGUGUCUGGCAUGUGCUACUUAGGGAAGAAUAGAAGAGUAAAAAGAUUGCUUUGCUUUAGAGAGGCUCUAGUUGAAAUUAGGCACAGAAAUUUGUAGUAGACCCAGGUCAAGACAGUUGCAUGACUUCCUCCAAAGGCAACCAAGAGAAAAUGAGCAAGAGUGGAAGAAACAGAUGAUGAGGGUAAUCCCGGGUUAACAUUUGGCAAAGCAUAAGUGCCAAUAGGGCAAGAGGCAAGAAAUUUGAAAGUUGAAGAUAGUAUGCCAUUGAACUGGGUCACUAAACCAAUGAAAUCACUAAAUAUUCCA